rnacentral:rRNA from 1 species
CCUUCGGGGAUACACGAGUGGCGGACGGGUGCGUAACGCGUACGAAACAUACCUUCAACAGGGGGAUACCUCCGGGAAACUGGAAAUAAUACCCCAUAGUAUUAUUGAAUCGCAUGAUUUGAUAAUUAAAGCUUUGGCGGUUGAAGAUUGUCGUGCGUCUGAUUAGCUAGUUGGUGAGGUAACGGCUCACCAAGGCGACGAUCUUUAGCUGGUCUGAGAGGAUGAUCCGCCACACUGGUACUGAGACACGGACCAGACUCC